rnacentral:rRNA from 2 species
UGGGGAAUAUUGCACAAUGGAGGGAACUCUGAUGCAGCGACGCCGCGUGAACGAAGAAGGCUUUCGAGUCGUAAAGUUCUUUUAUAUGGGAAGAUAAUGACGGUACCAUAAGAAAAAGCCCCGGCUAACUACGUGCCAGCAGCCGCGGUAAUACGUAGGGGGCUAGCGUUGUCCGGAAUCACUGGGCGUAAAGGGUUCGCAGGCGGAAAUGCAAGUCAGGUGUAAAAGGCAGUAGCUUAACUACUGUAAGCAUUUGAAACUGCAUAUCUUGAGAAGAGUAGAGGUAAGUGGAAUUUUUAGUGUAGCGGUGAAAUGCGUAGAUAUUAAAAAGAAUACCGGUGGCGAAGGUGACUUACUGGGCUCAUUCUGACGCUGAGGAACGAAAGCGUGGGUAGCAAACAGG